UCCCUGGUAGUCCAGUGGCUAAGACUCUGCAUUCUAAAUGCAGGGAACCCAGGUUCAAUCCCUAGUCAAAGAA
rnacentral:tRNA from 1 species